GGUGGCUCAGUGGUAGAGCGCUUGCCUUGUAUGCAUGAAGCCCUGGGUUCAAUUCCUCAGCACCA
rfam:Dipodomys ordii contig_42277, whole genome shotgun sequence.